UUAGUCCUACGGGAGGCAGCAGUGAGGAAUAUUGGUCAAUGGGCGCGAGCCUGAACCAGCCAAGUCGCGUGAGGGAAGACGGUCCUAUGGAUUGUAAACCUCUUUUGUCGGGGAGCAAAAGACGCCACGUGUGGCGUUCCGAGGGUACCCGAAGAAAAAGCAUCGGCUAACUCCGUGCCAGCAGCCGCGGUAAUACGUAGGUGGCGAGCGUUAUCCGGAAUGAUUGGGCGUAAAGGGUGCGUAGGCGGCCUGCUAAGUCUGGAGUGAAAGGUACCGGCUCAACCGGUACAGGCUCUGGAAACUGG
rnacentral:rRNA from 1 species